rnacentral:lncRNA from 1 species
AAACUACACAUAAUAAGAUAAUUAUUUAUAACCAAAUAUUGUGAUACACUUCUACAGGGAGGAAAACUUAAUGAGAAUGGUGUUUUCAAUUUUGUAAAAUGAUAAGAAUAGCGAGAAGCUUUGAAAUCCCAUCAAGAAAAUUCAUUUUAUAAGUAAAGUUGCAUCUUUCUGAUGAAAAUCUAGCAUUUUGUAUCAUGACAUUAAUUUCCCUAUAUUUUAUGCUCUCAUUUUCCCUUUCCAACUAACCAUAUGUGAAGAGGGAAAAGUGUAGCAUAAAGGGGACUUGUACAUGAGUAUCAAUGUGAAUCAUCUCUGCAAACAUAAGUUUCUUCACAGUAUUUUAAAACUCAAUCAUAAUGCACAUAUGGUAAAUGCUUCUAAGUUCUAACCAAAACAAAAGAAACCAUCCAUGAAAAGAGCCUCAUGACUAAUAGUAAUUUUCCUGCUCCAUUAGAAUAAGAAAAAAUUGACUAAAUUGGAAAAGCAAACAGAUCCGCUCCCAACCGUGAAAUUUAGUGACUGUUCUUAUUCCGGUCUCAUAUACCUGAAUUGCAGAAUGACAUACUUAAUAACAAAAAUUAAAAAUAAUUUCAAUUUAACAAACAUUGAUGUAGUUGAUAACUAUCCCAGAAGCAAAUUCAGCUACACUAACUAACUUCCCAGGCUCCUAAAACAUCAUUUUUCAAUUGCAAAGAAUGUGUAACAGUUGAGAAACUAAAAUCACCAUAACAAUCCAAUUUAAAAUUGCAUUGAGCUUAACGUAAGACUCUAGGUAACUCAACUUGGAUUAUAGUCACCCCGAACAUUGAACAACUUAUGUGACUGAACUAACCAAGCAUCUACAUGUAAGAAUAAGAAAAAUCCUUGCUAUUAGAGGGAAAACACAACCAUAAUUAAGGUGACUGAAAAUAUACAUAUGCUUAUAUUUGAAUUAAAGUCACUGCACUAUCAAUUAAACCUUUUAGUAAUCAAAACUCAUGUAGCACAUGAUAUAUACAAUGUUCUCACCAUCUCAUGCACCUGACAUUUCUUCUCCUAAAAGUAGUGUGGCAAACAUUUCCUUCAUCAAUUCAGAUUCUGCGUAAAAGCACAAGGAAAGAUAACAACUAAUGAUGUCUUACAUGAAGAGGUAAGAUAAAGGAAUUUCACAUGUUUCUAAGUGAUAACCUCUUUCAUUAUAUUGAUUAAAUUGAAAUACAAAAUCUAGGAACAAUCUUGACUAAAAUUUAUAGCCCAAAAGAUACCAGCUGGUGGCUUAGAAGGCAUUCUAGCUCCUUCACCAACCCACCUUGUGGUGUUUAGUUACUAAAGAAAAGUGAUUGAAGUAUUCCAAAACAUGGUUAUGGUUCAAAAUGUGCUGCAUCAAAAUUAUAAACCAUUCUCCUAAGUCCUAAUUUAUGCAAAUGUAG